AAAAGAAACCAACAGGGAUUGCCUUAGUAACGGCGAGUGAAGCGGCAAAAGCUCAAAUUUGAAAUCUGGCACCUUCGGUGUCCGAGUUGUAAUUUGAAGAAGGUAACUUUGGAGUUGGCUCUUGUCUAUGUUCCUUGGAACAGGACGUCACAGAGGGUGAGAAUCCCGUGCGAUGAGAUGCCCAAUUCUAUGUAAAGUGCUUUCGAAGAGUCGAGUUGUUUGGGAAUGCAGCUCUAAGUGGGUGGUAAAUUCCAUCUAAAGCUAAAUAUUGGCGAGAGACCGAUAGCGAACAAGUACAGUGAUGGAAAGAUGAAAAGAACUUUGAAAAGAGAGUGAAAAAGUACGUGAAAUUGUUGAAAGGGAAGGGCUUGAGAUCAGACUUGGUAUUUUGCGAUCCUUUCCUUCUUGGUUGGGUUCCUCGCAGCUUACUGGGCCAGCAUCGGUUUGGAUGGUAGGAUAAUGACUAAGGAAUGUGGCUCUACUUCGGUGGAGUGUUAUAGCCUUGGUUGAUACUGCCUGUCUAGACCGAGGACUGCGUCUUUUGACUAGGAUGUUGGCAUAAUGAUCUUAA
rnacentral:rRNA from 1 species